UGGGGAAUCUUGGACAAUGGGGGCAACCCUGAUCCAGCGAUGCCGCGUGAGUGAAGAAGGCCUUCGGGUCGUAAAGCUCUUUAGGUUGGGAAGAAGGAUGCGUGGGGAUAAUCCACGUAUUUUGACGGUACUAACAGAAUAAGCACCGGCAAACUCUGUGCCAGCAGCCGCGGUAAUACAGAGGGUGCGAGCGUUAAUCGGAAUUACUGGGCGUAAAGGGCGCGUAGGCGGUUGAAUGGGUGUGAUGUGAAAGCCUUGGGCUUAACCUGAGAAGUGCAUCGCAAACUGUUUAACUGGAGUAGAUGAGAGGGUGGCGGAAUUUCCGGUGUAGCGGUGAAAUGCGUAGAGAUCGGAAGGAACGUCAAUGGCGAAGGCAGCCACCUGGCAUCAUACUGACGCUGAGGCGCGAGAGCGUGGGGAGCGAACAG
rnacentral:rRNA from 1 species